GUAGUAUUGUGACUCCUUGUAUUUUGCAUGUGCUGAAAGUUAAUCAGCUGAAAGGCAGCUUCGCUGAAAAAUACCUAUGGUGGACAAGAGGUUGAACGUUGGCCAGAAUCAUGCCUUUGCAGCAAGGAAGGCCAUCGGUCUUUCUAAGACUGCAUCAAGAACAACAUUGUAUCAUCUGCAGGUCAUGAGUGUGAUCCUCCUGUUUUAUUCAACACUGAUGAGUUCAUAACUUCAAUUCAGGGUCCAGUCCAAGGUUCCCAAACACAAAGGGACAUGGACAUGCUGGAGAGAUUCUAGCAAAAGGCCAUGAUGACCUUGGAAGGGCUUGGAGCAUGUGAGCAUGUGGAAAGGCUGAAAGAAAUGGCAUUGUUCAGACUGGAAGAGAGAAAGCUCAGGGGAAUCUUAUCUGUAUGUAUAAAUACCUGAUUAGAAGAGGAAAGAAGAUAGAGACAAUUGUUCUUAAUAGAGCCCAGGCGUAGGAAAAGAAGCAGUGGACACAAACUGAAUCGUGGAGGUUUGCCUGACACCCUGAAGCACUUCUUUACUGUACAUGUGAGAAGGUGUGGAGUCUUUAUCCCUGCAAAUAUUCAAAAUCUCUCUGGACGUGAUCCUAGGCAACUAUGCUCUCAGUAGGGUUAGCCAAUCCUCAGUGGUGCCUACCAGCCUCACCCACUCUGUGUAAUGUGAUCAAACAACUGCUAACGCACAAUAGUGAAAGUAUCUAAGUCUCACUGUGGAAAGAAUGUAAUGUUCUGCAGCUCAGCGUUGUCGCUGCUUACUUCUGUUUGUACUGAAGUAUGAACUUCUUGGAUAGAGUGGUUUUGCAAUGAGGCCUUCCUAUAUUUGUGAAAAAGAAAGUUCUGCUUUCUUGCAGGGUGUUGUAUUUACUACACAGACUGAAAUUCCUUUUCAUAUUAGUAGAGGGAAGAUUUAAUGGCUCUUAAGACUGAAGAUUUACUCUGGACAAUUUUUUUUCACUCAAUUUAAGCAGGGACUCAUUAAUGCUAGAUUGAACAAAACCUGAUGCAUGAUUCUACAGUUUGGCCUCUGGUUACUCAUUACCAGUUAUGAGGACCUGUCUAAUGUUUCAAAUUUAAACACUGACUGAAGUCAAUUUUAAAACAGUUGCAUUGGGAAUGCUAACAAUUCUGAGAACACUAAAAUUUUCUCCUGUUGAUUUUAUUUUAUCUGCACUGAAUUUAACUGUUGUUAAUUGUAACGUCACCAUAUUGCGUAAAUGUAAAUUGCAAUAGUUCAGAAAGUGUGAGGGAUAUUAUCCCAAGUUUAACACUGCUCUUACCUGCUCAUUAUCUGAAUUCAUGAACUAAAGCCCUGAGUCUGAGCAGGGGCAUAUAUAAUAAUUCCUGGUAGCUACUCUUUUUUACCUUAUUCUUAUGGAGUAAUCAAUAAAUAAUGUGGCUAAAU
ensembl:lncRNA